GACGAAGAAGAGGAGAACAUUCAGCUUCCAGAGGCUAAGAGAUUCGUGGAAGUGGAAAUUCCUUAGAGAUUUCAAGUGGAAGAGAUUGAAUCUCCAGAUCGGUUUCUUUGAUGCUAUAAUUUUCCGAAUCGUUUCUCUGUUUGAGGCCAUUGCGUUAGUAGGCAUCGCCGGCUUCUUCUUCCUCUGUUGUGGCGGUUGCCGCUUCUGAUCGAUUCUACGAACCGAAUCGAUCAAUUUGUAUGUGCUUCCUA
rnacentral:misc_RNA from 1 species